AGUGUUAGGAGCCAGGCCCCUGGGCUGAGCACCUCACUGACAUCUGUCUCCAGUCACGCCAUAAGCCUGGCCCUGGAGUUGCCUCCACUUCUCAGAGGAGAAAACAGAGAUGCUGAGUGUGACCUUGCCGGACAGCCACACUCCCUCCUGGAGUGAGAAGUGGGGCGGCAGCCCUGUGGACUGGGGAGACGUGGGCGAUGGACUGAGUGGUGGCAGCAGCCGUUGUAUCUUCAGUCAGGAAAGGCACCUCCAGAACCUCAGAACGAUUUGGGCACCCGGUGGCUCCAAGGAGGAGCUGCAGA